CGGAGCUUGCCUUGCUGCUCCUCGGGGUCAGUGGUCUUGACAACGAGUUCCAGGGCAGCUUCGGGAACUUGCUCUACCACGAUCACGUCCUCGCCUUCUAGGGCUAGCUCGGAUGGGAUCUCCACGUACUCUACUUCCAGCGGCUCUGCUAUACGGAAAGAUGCAAUGAAUGAUAAGUAAAAUAAAAUAACCAUCCUCUUAAUUUUAUAAAGGCUAACCUAUUCAAAUAAGAGCUCCUUAUAUUUUUCAUCAAGGAAUAAUUAUAAAUCAAUUAAAUAGGAUUUAUCCUAAUUUUUAAUCAAAGAAAAGAAUUUAAAGGCAUUUUAAAUUCAAUAAACCAUUUUUAUAAAUUCUAAAAGGUCACUUAUUUUUAUUAACUAUAAAAUAUAUUUUAGUCCUUAUUUUGAAUUUUUUAAAUUUUUUUAUCUAUUUAAGGAGGCAAUUAAAGGAAAUACAUCCUAAUUUUAAAAGAGGUUUAAAUAAAGGAAAAGCAAAACAUUUUCCUAUGACAUUUAUGAUUUUUAUUGCAUCACACAUGAAAAUAUGAACUCAACAAUUUCUACAAAUAGUUAUGAAUUAUGGAAGUUCAAAGAAUGCAUUUUCAAAACAAAACAGCCAAAACUUUGCACAAAACCUCCUGGCUUCUUCUAAUUCCCGCCCGCGGUCCCUGGACUUCACAAAACAGAGCGCCCGGCCUUGACUGCGGCCUGGCGAGGUUGACCGGCGGGCCUGGCGAGGUUGACCGGCGGUGCCCUCGCCGGCGGCGAGCCUCACCCGCGACAAGAAGGACAUGGCUCGGCUCGGCUUGGCGCAGAGUAUCCACUGGUGGUGCUAUUGGUGACAGACCGUCUCCCUCCCUUGCAUCUUCUUGGCUGCUUGUCCACUCGUCGGAUCACGAGCAGACCGUGCACACGUACGCGCCGCCGGCCGGGGCAUGCAGAUGGAGGUGGCGCGUCCGCCGGGAGUUUUCAUGUUGCCGCACCAGAUAUACCACGAGACGCGGCCGGCGACAGCAGGAGGACCCCGCGUCACCGCACCCCACGAGUUCUACGACGGCUCGAUGAUGGCUACGCGCAGCGUGCCGGCCUCGGCCCGCGCCGUCGCAGGGGCCUGCCGCGGGCGGCGAGGAGGGGGAGGAGGACGGCGAG
rnacentral:lncRNA from 1 species